rnacentral:rRNA from 1 species
AUGCAUCAUGCCAACCUUCCCAUCUCAUCUCACCUAGCUCUCUCGAUCACAAUUCACAACCACCAUCAACCAGCCAAUCCAUCCAUCACAGCGUCCACCACGAUUCCCUGCCUACGCUUCCUCAUGGCGGCCGCCACCAACACCAAGCAGCAGCAGCAGCCGGCACCGAAGCCGGAGUUUGCCAACGGCGAGAAAGCCAAAACGCUGGUCGACCAGGAGAACCUGGCAGCGGGAGUGAUACAGGGCACCGAGGAAGUGAAAGCCAAAGCAGAAGCCGCUGCCACGGAAUCCAAAGCUGUGCUGGAGAAGAAGGCCACGGCGUGCAGCGGCUGGAAAGAGCAUGUGGCAGGGGGGCUGGAGCAGCUGACGGACAUGAAGUGGGCAGACAACGUGGUGGAGAAGGCAAGGAACAACAAGGAGGUGGUCGCCAUCGCCAUCGCUGCUUUCUCGCUCGGCUUCUUCGUCUCUCACAAGUUAUUCAGGAAGUGA